rnacentral:pre_miRNA from 1 species
AAUAAACGAAUUUAUGAGUUUUUAGAUAGAAUUUUUGAGUCUUCGUCUUAUUUGAAAAAUUAUGAUUAAUAUUUUUUGUUAUUAUUACAUGAUAAAACAUGAACAGUACUUUACAUGUGACUAAUAUUUUAAAAAAUUUUAAUAAAAUUUUCAAAUAAGACGGAUGGUCAAACGGUCUAUACAUAAAGCUCAGA